rnacentral:rRNA from 1 species
UACGUAGGGGGCAAGCGUUGUCCGGAAUCAUUGGGCGUAAAGCGCGCGUAGGCGGCCCGGUAAGUCCGCUGUAAAAGUCCAGGGCUCAACCCUGGAAAGCCGGUGGAUACUGUCGGGCUAGAGUCCGGAAGAGGCGAGUGGAAUUCCUGGUGAGCGGUGGGAAUGCGCAGAUAUCAGGAGGAACACCGAUGGCGAAGGCAGCUCGCUGGGACGGUCACUGACGC